CUUGAAUUUAAUUCUAGGAAUCAAUGGGUGUUCUCCAGUCUCACUGCCUGCUAACAAUGUUCAUCAGCUAAGAGAAGAGAAAGGUGGUGAUUUCUCAAAGCCCUUCACUGUACACAGGUCAAUCUCAGUAGUGAGAUUUGGUAGCUUGGUUACCUAUAGAAUUGGAGACCUAGAGACUUUGCUGCACAAGUGUCCACACCAGCUGCCAGUUCUGAGGAAGAGGAAUUGAUGCUGCAUCUUGUUGCCAUGGUUCAGCUGUGAAAACCACACCUCAUGGAACAAAAGCUUUUAAAGUAUGUGCUUAUCUCCUUUCAAGUCAGGACAGCUUUCUGAGACACGCAACUCUUUGAACUGUGUUACAUUAACCAAUACCCUGAUGACAUCAUGCUACACGACUGAUGAAAGUAAGUGGAUUUACAAGAACAGAUUGCAAGUCCUGGCAACUUCAAGAAUGGCUGCCAGAGCCGACUUGGACCACAAAGCCAUGAAAUACCUUGCUGAUAUAGGCAGCGUGUUUGGAGAAAAUCGCCUUCACAGUACGCACGCAGGUUUGCUGGAAAAGUUCCUUCUGCCUGGGAGCCAUUCCUGACGCAAGAAAUUGCAAUGGAAAGGCAGUGGACAUCACUACGAGGGUCGAAAUAAGAGAGCUGGGAUCUGUGCAUGGCUCAGCCCCCAAUUCCAUGCAUCCCUGACCAGCGUGUUGGAAAGAAACAGGGCCGGGAGCAGGAAUAGAGCAUUUCCGCACCUCAGCCUCCCUGCAAAUAGACAGCCAGUGAAACAGGAUACGAAAGAGAUGAGUAGCCCGCUGCGCUCCUGAAACACAUUAAUGUAACUUAAUGGAGUAUCUGGCUCCACGAGGCCUUACCGUCCAUUAUCUGAGGCUUGGCAUUACAGCAGAGAUGGACUGUCUUGUUAUAGUGACCUUUUGAAAAAAUCAUCUAGAAGCCACUAUGCCAGUUAACCGCCUUCCCAAAUUCCAUAAUGCAUCAAUCAUCACUGUUAUUGUAUGCGCCCCUCCCACCCCAACCUCCCCCCCCCCGGCACUUCCCUGCAUCCGUUACCGAUUUACGUCCGAGAAAUUGUCUGUGACUGAUUCAC
rnacentral:lncRNA from 1 species